GCGCGAACGGAAUGCAGUCGAAGUUGUCCUUGCCCAGUGUUGUGUAUGUUUUGGUACGUGCUCGAAGUUUUCGCCACGCAUCGUAGGGAAAGCCUGCUAGGAUUUUACCGAAGGAAGCUUCCCGUAAUCGUUAAUAUUUGGUGAAAAUACAGAACAUUCUUUUUUCUGAGUUUUUUUUCUCGCAAAUGGCUAUAAUGGUAUAACGAAAUGAGGUGCCCUUUCGGAAUGUUUCACUCUGCAUCAAAAUGCUGUUCCAACCUGUGAAUCAUGCGUGUGUACGAUUGUCGCCCACCGAGAAGCACACCAGGGAUGCUUCAACAGCUGCUGCUACGAGACUCUCGUUUAACCAAAUCCGAAAGGUCAUUAUCUCAUCGAAAUUGGCAAUCUGGGGAAAAAAUGCAAAGGACACGUACAUAAACUCCAUACCGGCUUGGCAUUUCCCCGAAUCGAUUCAGGUUUUGUAAAGGCAACUGUCGAGGAAAAACGUGAAUGAGACGCAUUACACAAAACCGACCGUUUGUUGCCGUAGAUUUGUGUUUUUUUCCAUACCGGCUGCCUGUGUAUAUACCUACGCAAAAACCUUUGGAAUCCCCGAAUUUCCUCUGGUAGACAGAGGGACCGAGUCACAGCCGCCGAAGAUCAUCAAUCAUUCUUCCCCCUUUGAUGUUUUUCUCUCGCACUCCGGUACCCAUUUCUUUGCCCACCGGUACGGAUCCCGUCUGCCGAUCUAGAAUCUAGAAUACUUGAAUGGAUCACUGUAGCUUUGUUUCAUACUUUUCUCAGCAACAUUUCCGAAUCGGAGAUGUUGAGGUUUGGUCGUUGGCCUUUUUUUCGCCAGAGCUUAGACACGCGGAAAAAGUCGGAGACAUCGUCUGUUUAGAGCUGAAAUCAGUCAGCAGAAGACGUAAUUUGGGUGACACAUUUUCCAAAGUACCCAUAUGAGACUAUCAGCUAAUUCCUCAACGUUGACAGCUUUUUCCUUUAUCUUAAAUGCGAAUGGAAACGAACGCUGGGCGUUGGCUGGGAACGAGGAAAUCUUUGAAAUGAUGUUUCCAAGAUUGAGUGACGGAAACACACAUGGAUUUCACCUUACAGGCUUAACGUUUGCAGGGAGUCGAUAGUGGAAAGGUGGAUUUAUGUUUUGGAAUCAUGGAGGACUGUGUGAGAUUAAUUGUGCUUGGUAGCUUAUUAUUUGUUGAAAUUUUUCGCUAAGAUUGAUGAAUUGCUUUUCAAAUGAGAAUUUGCUACCGCAGGACUUUCAUGUCAUAUUUCUUGGGGCUUCGAUUAAAAGGGUUGAUGUGAUGAUUACUCUUAUGUGCUCUUCAGUCAGAUUUCAGUUAAUCCUCUUUUAACCCUCUACUGCAUUAGGGCCAUAAAUUGGAGUUUAUUUAAACAUUUUUUUAGCUUAUUUCAGUACAAACAAAUAUUUCAAAAUUUUAAAAAAAAAUCAACAUACCGAUAAUACCAAUAUUAUCGAAUUAAAACGGGCAGUUUCAAUUAGCUCCUCCAUUGAUUGACCACUGAAAUGAUUCAGCUUCCAUUGUGAAACAUUGCAAAACUGGCUGUAUACUGAGGCAGACAAAAGUCUUAUUUAAAAAUCUCUUUUUUUUCAUUGUUUUUUUUAAUUUUUAAUUAAUUUUUAAAUUUGAACUAUUGCGCUCACAGAGAGAAUUUUAACAAAAAUAUCCGGAACCUUAAAGUCACAACUUAACACACGAAAGUUCACAUUUGACUUUUUGUGUCUAACGAUGCUUUUAUUUAUGAAAGUGAGUAUUUAUGAUAAAUUUAAGAGCAAAAUGUUCUAAGAGUUCUCAAGGGCUGGUUUGAGUUUAAUGCUUUUUGUUAUUGGCAAUACGUGUGUAUCUGUCAGCUGUAUAUAUUGAUUCAAUAGUAAAAGCUAUCAUUAAAAGCUACAAGUUAAUACACGUUAACAAUAAAUCAUGGACGGUUGGAAUACUGAUUUGCGAAGUGAAGCCGGUCAAACAUUGCGAUAGAUUUGUCUUUCCACGACAGUUAAAAAUCAACUCGUGACAAGUGAAUGGAAUGGUGAAAUGUGUUCACUUAUUUUUAUCCGAAGGCCGGUUUUUUUUUCAAUGCAUUGAAAUAUACAUUCAUAGGUAUCUAAUAUCAAUUCUGCACCCGAUUUGCUCUCAACUUUUAAAGAAACAAUUACACACAAUUGAAGCUUUCAAAUGAAUAUUCUAAUUUUUGACCAGAAAAUCUGCAAAAAUCAAACUAGUUUUUGUGGGCGUCUAUUCUUCAAAUGUUGAUCUUAAACUGCUCAUUUAUAAAUGAAACUUGAUGAUUUUCAGUACUUAAAGCUAUGUAAGAAUCUCGCGAAUUUUGCCUAAAAAUUAUAAGGAAAAACUAAUCUUUCCAAAAUAUUUGAUCAAACGCACUGUAUUUGAAAGGAAAAAUUAUUUUAUAAAAAUACCAGCGCCAAAUGUUUUCACUUUCCUAGCCAUCUUUAGAAACAACUCUAAACUUUAGAAAAGCCAAUAAUUUGGCGAAAUUACUAAGCAGACAUCGAAUCAUUUUCAAAAAGUACUAUAGAAGUUAAUUGUCACUUUGUAUAUGUUGCAAAUGUUAAAAUAAUUUUUAAACCUUUUUUAAGAUCAUGGACAUAAAAAAUGACUAAAAGUGGUGUAAAAACCGUACUUUAUAACCCUAAUCCUAUCUUGAAUGUCAAUAUGACACUAUUGGAAGUUUGGCGGCUUGUAUCUUUAUUCAGGUGCAUAAAAAAAAUUC